CCUCUCAGUUCGGACUGGAGUCUGCAACCCGACUCCACGAAGCUGGAUUCGCUAGUAAUCGCGCAUCAGCCACGGCGCGGUGAAUACGUUCCCGGGCCUUGUACACACCGCCCGUCAAGCCAUGGGAGCCGGGGGUACCUGAAGUGCGUAACCGCGAGGAUCGCCCUAGGGUAAAACUGGUGACUGGGGCUAAGUCGUAACAAGGUAAC
rnacentral:rRNA from 1 species